rnacentral:rRNA from 1 species
UUAAAUUGAAGAGUUUGAUCAUGGCUCAGAUUGAACGCUGGCGGCAGGCCUAACACAUGCAAGUCGAACGGUAGCACAGAGAGCUUGCUCUCGGGUGACGAGUGGCGGACGGGUGAGUAAUGUCUGGGAAACUGCCUGAUGGAGGGGGGUAACUACUGGAAACGGUAGCUAAUACCGCAUAACGUCGCAAGACCAAAGAGGGGGACCUUCGGGCCUCUUGCCAUCAGAUGUGCCCAGAUGGGAUUAGCUAGUAGGUGGGGUAACGGCUCACCUAGGCGACGAUCCCUAGCUGGUCUGAGAGGAUGACCAGCCACACUGGAACUGAGACACGGUCCAGACUCCUACGGGAGGCAGCAGUGGGGAAUAUUGCACAAUGGGCGCAAGCCUGAUGCAGCCAUGCCGCGUGUAUGAAG